GGUGGGUCGAGUGCAGUGGUGUUACAACUAAUUGAUCACAACCAGUUACAGAUUCCUUUUGUUCCUUCUCCACUCCCACUGCUCCACUUGACCAGCCUUAA
rnacentral:Y_RNA from 1 species